UAUCAGAUAAACGCAGUUUCAGAAUGAUCAAGAAAAACUGUUUGACCAAAUAAUAUGGCUGAUUAACAGUGGUACGAUUUCUAGCCUGAGGGCUGAAAAUGGACUUAGAGUAACUGUCUUUAAACUGAACUCAAAGAAUGCAAAAGCGGCAAGUUCGG